UCACGACCAUCUGCCGGUUUGUGCCCAGCUCGUCACCUGUCCCUUCACUUCUACGUCGCGUAACACGAGGCGCUCCCGCAUGAAUGUUGUUGCUGGCGCCGUGCAACUAGCUGAGCUGAGAGGCCCCUGAUACGCAGCUAAGUGUGGAGGGGGCAUCGCAUCGGACCGAGUGGACUGCCGUCGCAGUCCUUCGCCGUAGGGGUUAUUUUUCACCCUCUACUCGAGCUCCCUCGCAUUUGCUAGCUGGCCAAAUGUGCUAGACUUGACUGCCGCUGAACACGCCCGGCCUCCUCGCGCUCACAGGUGAUCAGUCUGCUCGUUCGAGGUCACAGUUACAUAAGCAAUGUACUGUAGUGCCAAUCUGGAGUAUCAGCGGACAGCGCUGAUACUAGGCGUCACUGUCGACUAAGUGCGCCCCAACAACCGUACGGCAAGUCUCAUGCUCGCCAAGUCACGCACACGCACACCAACCCUAGCCUACACACACGUCAACCUGUGACUUGCACUGACCCGUACGCCCUGUGACGGCGAUAUGCACUGCCGGGAGAUUGGCGUGUCAGCUGUCACGACCAUCUGCCGGUUUGUGCCCAGCUCGUCACCUGUCCCUUCACUUCCCCCCACAACCGAGAGGGGUCUGUAAGGACAGCCGAGGUUGGUACUCAGAGGGACAGAACAGCAAUCCUCCUCAAGUCACCGCUACCAGAACCAGAACUGUGGCGCGCUAAGGCCAACUGCAAUACCACACCGACGAUAACCGCUGGUUCAACACUUCCACCAAGCACCAGCAUCCUUGCACACACGCGUUAGCUCCCUCGACCCGCCAAAUGAUCAAGAUCAAGUAACGAAAGAGCGGCAACGUUCCCUAACAACAAUAGAAUACUCAGUUGAGCCGCUAGCAACCCCGCAGCCCCAUGUGGGCCACCCGGCGCGGUGUUGCACGGCGCCCCACGUCGGGAAACCGAAGCAAAGCGGGCGCCCUGGCGCCGAAACUGCAACUCACUCUCACUCGCGCUUGUCCACCAAUUCGCGCACCACCAAUGCCCCAGGCUUCACCGCAAAAGACCAGCAAGUAACGGGAUAGCAGGACACCGUACUCCUGUCCCCCCAGCAUGCUUUCCCGCUGCACGACAAACCUCGGCUGAGCCGCUGGCAGCCCCGCCGCCCCGUUUGGGCCACCCAGCGCGGUGUUGCCCGGCGUCCCACGUCAGGGACCCGAAACAAAGCGGGCGCCCUGUCGCCGAAACUGUUGCUCAACCUCCAUCGCGAUAAUCUGCAAAAUACCGGUCCCCCCUGAUCACCACCACCCGGUAAGACGGCAGCUCCAGUCCAGUCCACCGCCACUUGGGGACGUCCCCCCACAACCAUGUCCGGGGCGUGGCCCGGCAUGGUUGGUACUGCAAUUCAAGUGGCGGCAUCCGCGCCUCCUCCAUUCCCAACCACGCACGGUUCAUCCCAAGGCUUUGGGGGCCUACCCGCUUUGCCGUGACUGUGGCCACAGUACGGACGCGCGGAGUAGGGCCAGCAGCCAUACUGCAAGAACCGCAACAUCCAAAACAUCACCCCUCGGUGCCGGCCAUAUCGCGCUGCCAACAAUAUCGCCCUCAAUCCAUCCAUCGCACGGCACGGCACCAGCGAGGCUCUGAUGGCUCUCAGUCGGCCUAGGUGCCACACAAGGGCGGGCGAUGCGCACAAGGCCAACCACGUGCAUGUGCUCGGCGUACGGCAAUGCACGCCAGUUCAUUCGUUACGUAACGCGUCACGUGUAAUCAACUAGCAUCCUUGUGGUCACGGCCUGGACUGUAUGGACCACAGUGCUCUGCGCCGCCAUGCCCUCUGUGGAUGGAAUGCCUGCGGCACCUGCCAGAUGUGGCGUGGUUCGCUCAACUCCUACACAUCGCACCUCCUAGCCCUUUGCCAAGGGGCCGCCAGUUGCUCCGCAGUCCGUACGUGGACCACCCAGCGUGGUGUUGUUCGGUGUCCAGUGAUGUGGAUCCGACACAAUGCGGGCACCGCGCGCUGCGGGGCGGCUCCCUACCUAAAUGCCGUCGUGGUGAACACAAGCGGCCAGGGCAAGACGCCCUGCUUCGGCCCCUCAACCCGGUAUGCCGGAAUGCUAGCCUUCAUCCUGCUGGUUCACUCGCCUCCUUGCCGGGGAUAGGUGCUCCCGUAAGAAGUGGUUCGAGCAGUCGGGCGCUCAAGACAUGCCGAGACAUGUCGAGCUGGUGGUGGCGCGUGGGCCCUAGCGCCCCGGCUGCUGCUGCAGCCCCCGACUGCUCUGGCUAGACUGCGACCGCGGCCCGUACGUGCCGAUGGCUGCUGCUGUGCUGCAGCUGCCAAGUAGUCGUCUGCCAUGCGCUAAUGCGGCGAUAUCCGCAAAGCCGCCGCGGACCGCCGGCUCGACCUGGACCCCGCCAGCUCACUGACCUCUCUGCCGAAGGACUAAACCCUCCGCAAAGUGUAGCACGAGCUGGUGCGAGCUCGCCAGCGGUUUAGGCCAGCCAGGCGGCCUGCGGCUUCAAGAGCACAUAGAGCACAGGGUCGCAGCUUAGGCCGGAGCUCUUCAAAAUCCUUCGACAUCGCGACUCGUGCGCGAAUCAUUUCGCCAGAAGUAAGGCGCGGUCCUAUUCCCAGGGCUCCACUCGGACCAGGCUGUCCGCUGAUACUACGUCGCGUAACACGAGGCGCUCCCGCAUGAAUGUUGUUGCUGGCGCCGUGCAACUAGCUGAGCUGAGAGGCCCCUGAUACGCAGCUAAGUGUGGAGGGGGCAUCGCAUCGGACCGAGUGGACUGCCGUCGCAGUCCUUCGCCGUAGGGGUUAUUUUUCACCCUCUACUCGAGCUCCCUCGCAUUUGCUAGCUGGCCAAAUGUGCUAGACUUGACUGCCGCUGAACACGCCCGGCCUCCUCGCGCUCACAGGUGAUCAGUCUGCUCGUUCGAGGUCACAGUUACAUAAGCAAUGUACUGUAGUGCCAAUCUGGAGUAUCAGCGGACAGCGCUGAUACUAGGCGUCACUGUCGACUAAGUGCGCCCCAACAACCGUACGGCAAGUCUCAUGCUCGCCAAGUCACGCACACGCACACCAACCCUAGCCUACACACACGUCAACCUGUGAUUUGCACUGACCCGUACGCCCUGUGACGGCGAUAUGCACUGCCGGGAGAUUGGCGUGUCAGUUCGGGGACCGGACCUCAAGCUUCAGGGACCGUAUGCAGCCCCACGCGGCGAGGAUGCGCCCCUCCGGACAUGCCAAAUCUUUUUCCCCCUGCAUUGGGGGGCGUUUCAUGCCGCUCCCGCCCUGUGGCCUUGAUGGCCUUCUUGCCACCCAAGGUCAGCACGGGAGCGUUUUUCAAGCACGUACCCCGCUCCGCUCCGCCUUCAGCCCUGCCCCUCCGUUCCCCAUCCCGCCCCGCCCCGCCCCUUCUCCCCAAUCAUAGUUCAGA
rnacentral:lncRNA from 1 species